rnacentral:rRNA from 1 species
GGGUCUCGCUCGUUACCUGACUUAACAGGAUGCUUCACAGUACGAACUGACGACGGCCAUGCACCACCUCUCAGCUAAUCCGGCAAAGUCUUCAGCCUGGCCUUCAUAUUGCUGUCGGUCCCGGUAAGAUUUCCGGCGUUGAAUCCAAUUAAACCGCAAGCUCCACCCGUUGUGGUGCUCCCCCGCCAAUUCCUUUAAGUUUCAGCCUUGCGGCCGUACUUCCCAGGUGGCUCGCUUCACGGCUUCCCUACGGCACCGACAACGGUCGCACCGUGGCCGACACCUAGCGAGUAUCGUUUACGGCUAGGACUACCCGGGUAUCUAAUCCGGUUCGUGCCCCUAGCUUUCGUCCCUUGCCGUCAGGUCCGUUCUGGUGAGACGCCUUCGCCACUGGUGGUCCUUCAAGGAUUACAAGAUUUCAACCCCUUACCCCUGAAGUACCUCUCACCUCUCCCGGCCUCGAGCCAGACAGUAUCUCCUGAAAGCCUGACAGUUAAGCUGCCAGAUUUCUCAAGAGACUUAUCCGGCCGGCUACAGACCCUUUAGACCCAAUAAUAACGGUUACCACUCGAGCCGCCGGUGUUACCGCGGCGGCUGGCACCGGUCUUGCCCGGCCCUUGCUAUGAAAUGCUUUUUAGGCAUCUCGACAGCCAGAUUUGUAACCUGGCACUCGAGGUUCCCCUUAUCGCUGUUGCCAGCAUUGUAAAGUUUUCGCGCCUGCUGCACCCCGUAGGGCCUGGAUUCGUGUCUCAGAAUCCAUCUCCGGGCUCUUGCUCUCACAACCCGUACCCGUCGUAGGCUAGUAGGUACGCUACACCCACUACUACCUGAUAGGCCGCAGACCCAUCCUUAGGCGCCGGAGCUUUAAAUCUCGAUGCAUUCCAGCAAUCGAGACCUAUCGGGUAUUAUACCCAGUUUCCCGGGUUUAUCCCCGUCCUAAGGGCAGGUUGUCCACGUGUUACUGAGCAGUUCGCCAUGUAUUGCUACAUUCGACUCGCAUGGCUUAGUCGAACCUCGAUAGCAGUAACCUCUGGCAGGAUCAACCGGA